GACGAACUGUGCAAACGUUAUUCGGAAUCACUGGGCUUAAAGGGUGCGUAGGCGGUCUUGUAAGUAGGGUGUGAAAGCCCCCGGCUCAACCGGGGAACUGCGUCCUAAACUGCGAGGCUAGAGUGAGGUAGGGGUGUGUGGAACUUCCAGUGGAGCGGUGAAAUGUGUUGAUAUUAGAAGGAACGCCGGUGGCGAAAGCGACACACUGGACCUUGUCUGACGCUGAGGCACGAAAGCCAGGGGAGCAAACGGGAUUAG
rnacentral:rRNA from 1 species